GCGAACGAGGACAGCAAACGUCGCUGCUCCGAGCGCCGCUCUGAGCCAGCCCUGGUAGAGGCGUGGACCUGUGCAGGAAUGCUCAUACCCUGGUGGAGAAGAUGGAGUCAGAGGUGUUUUCCCACAGCAGGGAUGUUGGUAGGUGCAGGGAAGUCAAGGAAACUGAAAGGGGCUUGAACCACCGCUGGGAUGCAACAACACUACUGAAGCUCCACAGAUACUCAGUACCAGCCAAAAAGUUCCUCAUUUUCGCCACCAGAGGGGGCUGCGUUUUGAUACACAGUGCAAAACAACUAUUAAAAAAUUCACGUAUGUACCUUU